rnacentral:rRNA from 1 species
AUGGAGGCCGGCGCUGCACCUGCGCCGCCGGUUGGUCCUCCCCGACACCGUCCGGGCCCUCCUGCACUGCAUCACCCUCCUACCGCGCCUACUAGACCUACAGGAAGUGCUCAUGUAUCAAAUUCCAGUUGUUACUCAACCUGUAGUGGAUUCCAUUUGCUGAAGAUAUCGUCCAUUGUCACCAGUGCAUCCUUCUAUCUGGCCUUCACUGAUCAGUGGUUCAACCCUUCUCCUCCUCCUUAUUUUCACUAUUCUUCUAUUCUAGCUAGGUUCCAAGGAAGGGGCUCUUUGGAGCUAUCUUAUUUUGUUAGUUUGCUGUCCAGGGGAGCUUUAGAUCUAGAAGCAUUUUUUUCUGAAGUAUGCAUUUGUUGUCAAGGAGAGGUGCUGCUGUGUGAAUUUGUGCCGCUGUGUCGAAUUGGGCGGAGGCUUCCCUGUCAAGAAGAAGGUAUCCUACAAACUCCACCCAAUUCGACGAGCAUUGAGCUGCAGCACCAUCUGGUGCAGAGAAGCGCGGAGGACAGCUCGGUGGUAGGGGCGACGUAUCUGUCAAGAUGGGAUAUUCAGGUCGCUCUGCGUAGUGGGUGCCUCAUCAUUUACAGGAAAGUUAUUAAUUCUAGGAAGCGAUUGCGUGCUCAUGUAGGACUUGAUGAAGGAGAGGUAUGUCCCAAGUGA